ACAAGUUUUCUUAAAGAAGAAACAACUGUCUGGAGUGUCCUCAAAUAUGCAAGGUUUGACUUCCCUUUAGCAAUCUCCAUCACUUCUUCUAACCUAUUUUGAAUAGACUGACCAAAAAUUCUUUGAAAGAAAGUUUGGAGAACCAAUUCGGGAUUAGGGAAAACACGUUUAAUGACCGCGCAGUCACCUUCUAUAACAGAACAUAAUUCACUAAAUAAAGAAGAUAGUGUUUGAAUUAGCGGUGGUAUUUUCUGCGUUGGAUCUGGCAAAAUCAGCCAUAUAGGGUCUUGUUCUAAACCUUGACGAGAUUGAACCUUAUCAGCAGCAAUGAAGAACUCAUGCUGAUUAACGAAUUCACGUACGACAGAUGCACCACCAUUAAACUCCUGAAGUAUGGUGCCAAAAGAUGCCAUACCCUUCCAAUUGGGCUUUCUGUAUUCGUUGUUAAAAAAUUUUAAAAAAUUUGUCUCUAAAAACUCGGAAAAUUUUUCAAUUCGUGCCAGCGUUUCGCUCGAAUCAGGAAGAUCAACUUCAUUAGCAAGCGCUAACAAUUGUCUUGUCCUUUGCGCACAUAAUAGCAUUUUGUCGUGAUUAUUGGUACGAAAAAAAUCCAUGAGGGUUUGUGGUUUUCCAGACCGAAAUUCCAAAUAAUACCUCAACAAUUCUGCUGAAGAUAAAAUUCUUUUACGGUUAUUUUCCGCCCGUUCUAAUUCUUGGCCAGCAUCAACUAAACCGCUGCGCAUGUCAUUAACGUUAUCUUCCAAAUGCCUUGAUAAUUCGAGGACCUGUGCAAAUUUUUCACGUAGAUGAUUAGAUUUCUGGUGAUACUCAUUUUGAACUUGCUUUGAUGCUGAAGCAUAGUCACGUAUCCUAUCACCAACUCUAGACUUUAGCCGAUUCAAUUCAUGAAGGCAUGCCGCAAAUGAUUUGAUAGACCCAUCAAUUGAAGAUACUGAAACA